AAGUGAUUUCGCUCAUUUAGUAUUUGUCUAGCAGGUGUUCCACUCCAUGGGAAGCCCCU
rnacentral:snRNA from 1 species